GACGUAGGGCGCGAGCGUUGUCCGGAUUUAUUGGGCGUAAAGAGCUCGUAGGCGGCUUGUUACGUCGACUGUGAAAACCCGCGGCUCAACCGUGUGGCUUGCAGUCGAUACGGGCAGGCUAGAGUUCGGUAGGGGAGACUGGAAUUCCUGGUGUAGCGGUGAAAUGCGCAGAUAUCAGGAGGAACACCGGUGGCGAAGGCGGGUCUCUGGGCCGAUACUGACGCUGAGGAGCGAAAGCCAGGGGAGCAAACGGG
rnacentral:rRNA from 1 species